AGUGCAGAGAUAAAAGACAGGAAAAAAAACUAAAUUAAUUCAUUGGUCAAUUAUUAAGUAACAUGUCCUUUUCUUAUUUUAAUGUGUUUUCCGGAAAUAUGAUUUCCCUUUAAAAUUUGCGACCGUCACUUACUUCCAGUUUUAAAAUCACGGUUGGAAAUUUUGUUAUGAUUUGUGUGUAAGCACAGUGUUUUAACCAGUGGUUAGUGGAAUUGUCACACAAACACCCUUUUAAAAUAGUAGUUCGCUGCUUAGUUUGGAUCAGGAGUCAGGUUUGAGAUCUCACUUUGAGCUGUACAAGUACUCAGCGAUUAUGGCUGAUAAAGGUAAAAUGAGGAUAGCGGCAACUAUCAAGUCAGGAUGAAGACCAGGAGCUACCGUCCAUCCACCGGCCUUACCAGUAAACAGGCAAUUCUGCUCUUCUCAUUUGAGAGCUUGCUGAAGAUUCAUGGGAAAAAGAAAUGCAAAUCUAAUGUGCUUCAUUCAAAUGUAGUUGAGAGUACAGGGGAACCAGGGAACCAGUUUAUCUAUGGACGUAACCGACUGACCGCUACAGCAGGUUAUGAGAGACUUCAUCAUGUGUUGUGUGAAGAAUGGCAAAGAAAGCUGGAAUCAUGGAAAAGAUAGCUAGGUUAUACCAGAUAGCUUAGGAAGGUGAACACUAAAAAUGACACACUAUUUCCUUACAGACAGAAAGAAUUUUGUGAAAAUAUUCAACCAGUUGUAAAUUAACAGCUAAUUGUUCAAUCAAGUUUUGGUACAAUAUUUUUUAUCUUUUAAUUUUUAAUUUCAUGUGAAGGCAA